UACGUAGGUGGCAAGCGUUGUCCGGAUUUACUGGGCGUAAAGAGCGCGCAGGCGGUCGAUUAAGUCGAGUGUGAAAGCCCCCGGCUCAACUGGGGAGGGUCACUUGAUACUGGUCGACUCGAAGGCAGGAGAGGGAAGUGGAAUUCCCGGUGUAGUGGUGAAAUGCGUAGAUAUCGGGAGGAACACCAGUGGCGAAGGCGACUUCCUGGCCUGUUCUUGACGCUGAGGCGCGAAAGCUAGGGUAGCAAACGGG
rnacentral:rRNA from 1 species